rnacentral:misc_RNA from 1 species
AAGGAGAAAAGCGGAGGCCGCAAUGGCCAACUGUCGAUACACAGCGCUUUCGUUUCGUUCGGUUUUGAGGGAAUGAGAAAUUCCUUCACUUGUUUUGCGCCUGCGUCUUCUAGCAGAUUCAAGGAAGAUGGAUUCCUCGGCGCAAAGCUGCAAGGAAGCAGACUCAAGGCAGUCGCUUCGUUCAGUUUUGAAGGAAUGAGAAAUUCCUUCAAAAGCGCCUGUGCCUGCGUCUGCUAGCAGGUUCAGGGAAGCAAGAUUCCUCGGCACAAAGCCGCAAGGAAGUUUGUUCAAAGAAGUCGCUUUGCGUCUACAAGUGAAUUCAGAGAAGCUGGAUUCCUCGGCGCAAAGCUGCAAAGAAGCAGACUCAAGGCAGCAGCUUCGUUCCUUGAAAACUAGAUAACCGAUUAACAUAAGGAAGAAGCCGAGAGCGCAAUA